UACGUAGGGAGCGAGCGUUGUCCGGAAUUACUGGGUGUAAAGGGAGCGUAGGUGGGACUGCAAGUUGGGUGUCAAAUCUACCGGCUCAACCGGUAGCCGCACUCAAAACUGCAGUUCUUGAGUGAAGUAGAGGCAGGCGGAAUUCCUAGUGUAGCGGUGAAAUGCGUAGAUAUUCGGAGGAACACCGGUGGCGAAGGCGGCCAACUGGGCUUUAACUGACGCUGAGGCUCGAAAGUGUGGGGAGCAAACAGG
rnacentral:rRNA from 1 species